rnacentral:rRNA from 1 species
UAGGGAAUCUUCGGCAAUGGACGGAAGUCUGACCGAGCAACGCCGCGUGAGUGAAGAAGGUUUUCGGAUCGUAAAGCUCUGUUGUAGGAGAAGAACGAGUGUGAGAGUGGAAAGUUCACACUGUGACGGUAUCUUACCAGAAAGGGACGGCUAACUACGUGCCAGCAGCCGCGGUAAUACGUAGGUCCCAAGCGUUGUCCGGAUUUAUUGGGCGUAAAGCGAGCGCAGGCGGUUAGAUAAGUCUGAAGUUAAAGGCUGUGGCUUAACCAUAGUACGCUUUGGAAACUGUUUAACUUGAGUGCAAGAGGGGAGAGUGGAAUUCCAUGUGUAGCGGUGAAAUGCGUAGAUAUAUGGAGGAACACCGGUGGCGAAAGCGGCUCUCUGGCUUGUAACUGACGCUGAGGCUCGAAAGCGUGGGGAGCAAACAGGAUUAGAUACCCUGGUAGUCCACGCCGUAAACGAUGAGUGCUAGGUGUUAGACCCUUUCCGGGGUUUAGUGCCGUAGCUAACGCAUUAAGCACUCCGCCUGGGGAGUACGACCGCAAGGUUG